GGAACGUUGUGCAGGCGGUAAGAACGCGGGUCCUUCCGGGUUUGGGCGUCGCGCGCUCUGGGCCGCGUUCCAAUGCCAUAGACGCAGCAGCUGCGGGAGAGACGCAGUUUGUUGCCUUGCUUUGCUGAAUAUGGGAGAGACAGAGAAAGCAAUGAGUGAGACAGCGCGUAUGGAAACCAGCAUCCAGAAGAAGGAAAAGGAGAAAAAGAAAAGGUCGAGGGUCAACAAGGUGCUUUCUGAGAUUAAAAAACAGGUUGAAUUUUGGUUUGGCAAUGUGAACCUCCACAAAGACCGAUUCCUUCAAGAACAGAUUCAGAAAUCCAGAGAUGGAUAUGUUGACAUUUCUGUGCUGACAACAUUCAACAAAAUGAAAAAGCUAACAACAGAUGUAAAAUUAAUAGCAAGGGCAUUAAAAAACUCAGCUGUCAUUGAGCUGAACGUAGAAGGAACAAAACUAAGGAGGCGUAUGGCCUUGGGAGUUCAGCCACAGGAUGUUGAUGACCGUACAGUUUAUGUGGAGUUGCUACCCAGAAAUGUUUCACAUGGUUGGAUAGACAGAGUAUUCAGUAAAUGUGGAAAUGUAGUCUACAUCAGCAUUCCUCGUUACAAAACAACUGGUGACCCAAAAGGAUUUGCCUUCGUGGAAUUUGAAACUACAUCAGGAGCCCAAAAAGCCAUAGAGCUGUUAAAUAAUCCCCCAGAAGAUGCACCACGAAAGCCUGGAGUUUUCCCCAAAACUGUAAAGAGCAAACCAGUUCCAGUGUUUAAUUCCAGUGACUGCAAUGUUGAUAAUAAAUGCACAGACGAGAAAAAGAAAAAGAAAAAAAAGAAACCUCGAAAAUCAGAGAACUAUAAUCAGUCAGCUGCAGAGCCAAUGGAACAGUCUCACACAAAAAAUGCUGACAGUUUAGAAAAAGGAAAGAGCAGCAGAGUGACAUCUGACUGUCCAGAAACUGAUGUGCUAGAUCCGUGCAAAAAUAAAUCAAAAGGUGAAACAAGGAAAAAGGAUAAAGCAGAAGAGAGCAGUCGGAGGAAGCGGAAGAGAAGUAGUCCUGGAAAACUGGAAGAAGGGUCCUCUGCAAAAGUAAGAAGAAUUAGUGAAAAAGAGAAGACAGAUAGUGAAAAAGACAUUAAAGAUGUUUCGACAGAAGAUGAGCAUGGUUCUGGAGAUAAGAAGGAUGAGUCCCUGUCAAAAAGCAAGAGAAAACGAAAAAAAAAACACAAAGAUAGGCACAAGGUGGAAGAAGAAGUCAUUCCACUGCGAGUACUUUCCAAAAAAGAUUGGAUGGAUUUGAAACAAGAGUACUUAACACUGCAGAAGUCCAGCAUGUCCAGCUUAAAGAAAACUAUGUUACAAAUCAAACAGCAAAAUGAUGGAGAGAUUAUGGAGGUGACUGACAAAAACAAACAGGAACUUGAAAACAAUAAAGCAAGGGUUAACGAUGAAGGAGCCCAGUCCUCUUUGAAGGUUAACACCCUGGGGCCUCAGUUUGUGAGUGGAGUCAUUGUGAAGAUCACCAGUACUGAGCCCCUGCUGGGCAGGAAACGGAUCAAGGAUGCCUUGAUGGAGACAUCUGAGGUUUUGUAUGUGGACCUCCUUGAAGGAGAUACCGAGGGACAUGCUCGGUUUAAAACCCCUGCAGAUGCCCAAACUGUGAUGAGGGCACAACGAGAGAUACAGAGCAAGUACAACUGGAAACUUGACCUUCUCUCAGGUCCGUUUUCGUUAACUUUCAAUAUCUGUUCAAAUAUGGAACUACAUGUGACAGUGAACAACGCUAUUGGCAGAAGAUUUUAGUGGAUAGACAAGCAAAACUAAACCGACCACGGGACAAAAAACGGGGCAUGGAGAAGUUGAUUGUCAAGGCUGAAAAAAUAAUCGUGGCCAAGAUGCACAAAGCUGGGAAGCAUAUACAUUUCUCUGACGAAGACUGAAGAUGCUCAUACCAUUUCGUAUAUUCUUUCCGUUUCCGGGUUUUUUUAUACUUUGAAGAAUUUUAAUGGUUUUAUACUGAAUAUAGAUACUGUUUGCUGUUGCCAGAGAGAUUUUCACAAUCAUACUUUUAAAUAAUACAGUGAUGUGUGUUGACUUUCUGAACUUUCUAUGAAUUGUGUAAAUUAGGGUUUGCAGUAUAUUCUCAUUGCUUUGAUGUAAUGAUUUAAAAGCCAUACGUCUACUUCCAUGAUUCUCUUCUGACAUUGGAGCUGCUUAGAUGCAUUGAAAUAAGUGUGGUUGGAUAAUCAUUUUAAGUGUAUAAUUUUAAACAUAGACCCAGAAUUUUGGUUUGUGAAACUGUUUAAAGUAGAAACUUGGCAAAGUUUUUUGUUCAUGUCCACAAACAAUUUUCAAAAAUACCUUUUUGAAUUUUGUCAGAUUGUUACAAAUGUUUGUAAGUGGUUUGUGAAUAUGGAUGAUUGAACCUGUCCUUGUUGGAUAUGAAAAUUCCAACAAAAUAGGAGAGAUGUGAUUUUUUUCAUAAUUCACAUAGGCAGGUUCUAUAAGGUGACAAUUAGACCCUAGACUGCACUGAGUUACAUGAUCUUAGUUGGGGCAAUAGUAAGCGCUGGGGUAGAGAAACAUCAUUCCAACUUUCUGUUCUUAUCGCAAUGUCCUAGCUUCUGCUCGAAAGCGUGCCCAUGUAGUCAUGAGGUGGGAACAGUAGUGAGCUGCAUUAUGAUCUCCUCCAUAGUCAGCUGCCCACAUGGCUCAAACAUGGAAAAUGGCCAUAUGACCAAGAUACUGGAGGCUCAUUAACCUGCACCGAAACCUGUGAGAGGAGAAGAAAACUGGCUCAUUUUGUAUUGGUAUUCUCACUCAGCUUCUCUAAGUUGUUAAGAAAUUAUCUCUGAUGGCAUUGUAAUGGUGUUAGCACAGGAUGUUACUCGGGCUAAAGUAAGAUUUUAGUCUCCAAAUGUUUACAGGUAUGCCAGAUGCCCACAGAGUCACUUAUCACUUAUGUUUUACUUAAAUGUUGAAACAGUUACCCAAGUUUGAAUGUGGUUCUAUUUAUUUUUAGUUCACAUAAUUAUUGCUUUUACUCUGAUUUAAGAGAAUAAAAUUGAAUGAGCUUU